rnacentral:rRNA from 1 species
CAAUAGUGUAUAUUAACGUUGUUGCAGUUAAAAAGCUCGUAGUUGGAUUUCUGGAGGGAGCGUCGGCCCGUAUUUACGAGUGCGUGACGUCUCUGUCCAUCCUUGCGGGAAGGCACGGCAUUGAUUUGUUGUGUCGGAUCGCAUCAUUUACUGUGAAAAAAUUAGAGUGUUCAAAGCAGGCUUUCGCUUGAAUACAUUAGCAUGGAAUAAUAAGAUAGGACUUUGGUGCUAUUUUGUUGGUUGAGCCUAAAGUAAUGAUUAAUAGGGAUAGUUGGGGGCACCUGUAUUGCGUUGUCAGAGGUGAAAUUCUUGGAUUUACGCAAGACAAACAGCUGCGAAAGCGUCUGCCAAGGAUGUUUUCAUUAA